AGAAUGAUUUAUUGUUUGGCAUUUGGGAAAACAAAGAUACACAAAAGAAAUGGAGUAGAAAAGUGUGUAUGUUAAAUGAGCUUUAAUUAUCUGCUAGAGCCAAGACCCAAGUCAUUGCCUAGUUGUAAUAGAAAAGGAAAAGAAACUGUACCCUAUUAUGGAAAGUAGCUUUCUUUUUGUAAUAAUUUACUCUCUAGGUGACCUUAAUUGCAUAUAUAUAUAUAUAUAUACACAUAUAUAUCCCCAAAGGGCUAGAGCCAUCAACUAGAAAGACAACUUCGAUGAAAGAAGAUUUCAAAGUUAUUCUGGCAUCUACCAUUUUUACAUUAUCAAAGCCUGACUGCGUGAAUGUGAACCAUAACUUGGUAUUUCUGAUUUAAUUUUGCGACUAUGGGAACUGAAAGUUUUUAAAAGACUGGUGGUCUGUAAAUUUAACCAAGUUAAAAGAUAAAGAAGUUUGGUUGGUGUGUACUUUUAACAAUCUCAUUGUAAGCACUGAGAUUCUGUUGUAUAUUUACCUGGCCAAAAAUUGAAUGUCUUCAUUCCUCGGCUUGAUCACAAAGGGUCCAUCUUUUCUCACCAUACGUUUAAUUGACCAAUCUCUGGUUACUUUCUUGGUUUAAUUUCCCCUCCCACCUAUGACUGUCUAUUAAGCAUUUGCUUUCUUAAUUUGUAUGCUGUUUCUCAGACAUAUGAAUAAGUUGAGGUUGCUUACAUGACUGCUACAAUUGGUAUAAGAUUUCUGUAUCCUUUGUCAUGCAAUAGAUAUGAUUCCUUCUGCAAAAAAUCUGUGUUUGCGUCUCAAAUAGUAUCAGUAUAGGACCGUAGGAAGUGACUGCUGUUUAAAUACUUUAAAGCCACCUAAUCCAACAAUGUGCGUAGCAUCUUCCUAAGUACAUCCUUAUUCUUCAACCAAUCUUAACAAUCUCCCCCUUCCCCAGAAAGACUUUAGAAGGAAAACAUAGGAAAAUAUAUGUAGCAUUGUUGCAGGCCUCUGAGGACUAGGAUCCGCAUUCUACAGCAUGAGGUUGUUCUAGUUAAUUUGUAGAUUUGCAAGUUAAAUAAACUUCAAUUCAUCUACAUGAAGCCAAGACCAUGUCAUUACUUAAAUAAACUCGUAGCACACUUGGUUUUUUGCCGGUUGUUGCUUGUAUGUAAGUUGCAAUAGGAAAUGAAAGUAAACUUGUUCCUUUCAUUGACGAUAAAAGGAUUCGAAUGGCUUUCUCUUACAUCAAAUAGAAUCUUCAGAUUGUUAUGGUAAAGAGAAUCCAAAGGUUGCUCCUUCUGAUUCUGUUCCCGUUUUACGUUGAUCUGAGUCUGAGUGCCUCAUAAAUUAGAUGCCAGCACCCCAGUUGGUUAUGUUUCUGCUGUAUGGACGUCCAGUAUAGCUCUUUUGUGAACAAGCACAUGGUUCAGCAUUAUCAGCAGACAAAGCAUUGUCUUGCUCUCAGCUACAGUGAUCUAUCAGUUUGGUGUUUCUCCUGUGAUGCGUGUUUAGAUGCUCAGUAAUCCCACAGUUGCAGGGUGUGUAUGAAACUGCCUACAUACUGAAAUCUGGAGAGGCCCCAUCAUUGCGAACGGUUUAAUAGCUGUAAAAUAACUGAGAGCUUAUAACUGGAGGUGAUAAAAUAAAUCACAGUACGCAUGUUGGAGUUUUUCUUAUCAGAUGAGGUUCUUUAAAGAGACAUUCAUACCAUUCGAUUGCCAGGUAUCAUAUUCCGUAGAACUUGAUACUAAACA